rnacentral:rRNA from 1 species
UGGGGAAUAUUGGACAAUGGGGGAAACCCUGAUCCAGCCAUGCCGCGUGAGUGAUGAAGGCCUUAGGGUUGUAAAGCUCUUUCAGCGGGGAAGAUGAUGACGGUACCCGCAGAAGAAGCCCCGGCUAACUUCGUGCCAGCAGCCGCGGUAAUACGAAGGGGGCUAGCGUUGUUCGGAAUUACUGGGCGUAAAGCGUGCGUAGGUGGUUUGUUAAGUCAGGUGUGAAAUCCUCGGGCUCAACCCGGGAACUGCGCUUGAUACUGGCAGACUCGAGUGUGGUAGAGGAUAGUGGAAUUCCCGGUGUAGCGGUGAAAUGCGUAGAUAUCGGGAGGAACAUCAGUGGCGAAGGCGGCUAUCUGGACCAACACUGACACUGAGGUACGAAAGCGUGGGUAGCAAACAGGAUUAGAUACCCUGGUAGUCCACGCCCUAAACGAUGGGUACUAGACGUCGGGAAGCUUGUCUUCUUGGUGUCGCAGCUAACGCAAUAAGUACCCCGCCUGGGGAGUACGGUCGCAAGAUUA